GAGUUUGAUCCUGGCUCAGAUUGAACGCUGGCGGCAUGCCUAACACAUGCAAGUCGAACGGUAGCAGGCCUUCGGGUGCUGACGAGUGGCGGACGGGUGAGUAAUGCGUAGGAAUCUGUCUUUUAGUGGGGGACAACCCAGGGAAACUUGGGCUAAUACCGCAUGAGCCCUGAGGGGGAAAGCGGGGGAUCUUCGGACCUCGCGCUAAGGGGGGAGCCUACGUCUGAUUAGCUAGUUGGUAGGGUAAAGGCCUACCAAGGCGACGAUCAGUAGCUGGUCUGAGAGGACGACCAGCCACACUGGGACUGAGACACGGCCCAGACUCCUACGGGAGGCAGCAGUGGGGAAUUUUUCGCAAUGGGGGCAACCCUGACGAAGCAAUGCCGCGUGGAUGAAGAAGGCCUUCGGGUUGUAAAGUCCUUUCGUGGGGGACGAAAAGGUGGUUCCUAAUACGAGCUGCUGUUGACGUGAACCCAAGAAGAAGCACCGGCUAACUCCGUGCCAGCAGCCGCGGUAAUACGGGGGGUGCAAGCGUUAAUCGGAAUCACUGAGCGUAAAGGGUGCGUAGGCGGUACGUUAGGUCUGUCGUGAAAUCCCCGGGCUCAACCUGGGAAUGGCGGUAGAAACCGGCGCACUAGAGUAUGGGAGAGGGUGGUGGAAUUCCAGGUGUAGCGGUGAAAUGCGUAGAGAUCUGGAGGAACAUCAGUGGCGAAGGCGGCCACCUGGCCCAAUACUGACG
rnacentral:rRNA from 1 species